GUCUGCAGCAAAGCAGGCUUUUCCUGCAUGGCAUAAUACUCCAGUUACAACUCGUCAACGAAUUAUGUUCAAGCUUCAAGAACUUAUUAGGCGAGAUAUAGACAAACUUGCUCUGAAUAUUACCACAGAACAAGGAAAAACAUUAAAGGAUGCACAUGGAGAUGUAUUCCGUGGGCUAGAGGUUGUGGAACAUGCAUGUGGAAUGGCAUCUCUGCAAAUGGGGGAGUAUGUCUCGAAUGUGUCACAUGGAAUUGAUACCUACAGCAUCAGAGAGCCUCUUGGUGUUUGUGCUGGGAUUUGUCCGUUCAAUUUUCCAGCCAUGAUCCCCCUAUGGAUGUUCCCAAUUGCUGUUACAUGUGGGAAUACCUUUGUUUUGAAGCCUUCAGAAAAAGAUCCAGGGGCUUCUAUAAUCCUUGCAGAGUUAGCAAUGGAGGCUGGAUUGCCUAAUGGUGUCCUAAAUGUGGUUCAUGGUACUAAUGAUGUUGUUAAUGCCAUUUGUGAUGAUGAAGAUAUAAAAGCAAUAUCAUUUGUCGGUUCAAACAUUGCGGGCAUGCAUAUAUAUUCAAGGGGAUCAGCUAAAGGAAAACGUGUGCAGUCCAAUAUGGGUGCAAAAAAUCAUGCAAUUGUCUUGCCCGAUGCCAGCAUAGAUGCUACUUUGAAUGCUUUGGUUGCUGCAGGUUUUGGUGCUGCUGGACAAAGGUGUAUGGCACUUAGUACAGUUGUCUUUGUUGGAGACUCCAAGUUGUGGGAGGAUAAACUUGUAGAACGUGCCAAAACUCUGAAGGUAAACUCUGGAACAGAACCUGAUGCAGAUCUUGGUCCAGUAAUUAGCAAGCAGGCAAAAGAACGAGUAUGUCGAUUGGUUCAAAGUGGCGUUGAUAGUGGAGCCAAAUUAUUGCUUGACGGAAGAGAUAUUGUGGUCCCAGGAUAUGAAAAAGGCAAUUUUGUUGGUCCCACAAUCCUGUGUGGUGUCACUCCCGAUAUGGAAUGUUACAAGGAGGAGAUCUUUGGCCCAGUUCUUCUUUGCAUGCAGGCCAACAGCUUGGACGAGGCCAUUAACAUUGUUAACCAGAAUAUGUAUGGUAAUGGUGCUGCUAUCUUUACCACAUCUGGUGUAGCAGCGAGGAAGUUCCAAACAGAGAUAGAGUCAGGCCAGAUUGGAAUCAAUGUUCCUAUUCCAGUGCCAUUGCCAUUCUUCUCGUUUACUGGAUCCAAGGCUUCCUUCGUUGGAGACCUCAAUUUCUAUGGCAAGGCUGGAGUUCAGUUUUACACCCAAAUCAAGACAGUUACACAGCAAUGGAAGGACUUGUCAAGUGGUUCUGGCAACUCUCUAGCAAUGCCAACUUCUCAGAAGUAAUAAAAAACUUCAGAAUAAUACCCUCUUUAAAGUGCAAUAAAUUGCCCGUUUUGAUCUUAUACCCUGGUGUUACUUUUUUGUUACCAGAUUUUAUUUUCCCCCAGUAUCCUAUAAUUAUAUUCUA
rnacentral:misc_RNA from 1 species